rnacentral:lncRNA from 10 species
AGUGGUGCAAUCUCAGCUCACCGCAACCUCCACCUCCUAGGUUCAAGCGAUUCUCCUGCCUCAGCCUCCCUAGUAGCUGUGAUUACAGGCAUGCGCCACGACACCCAGCUAAUUUUGUAUUUUUAGUAGAGAUGGGGUUUCUCCAUGUUGGUCAGGCUGGUCUCAAACUCCCGAUCUCAGGUGAUCCACCUCCCUCGGCCUCCCAAAGUGCUGGGAUUACAGGCGUGAGCCACCGCACCCGGCCAAAGUUGUAGCUUUUGGUUAAUACUUAGAUGCAUCUUCCCUGCCACAUCUUAACAUUCUGAAAUCAGUAUGAUUUUCACAAUCAAUAUGAAUAUAUUUAAUAAAGUAGUAGUUCUUUGUUUCCUAAAAACCUAUUAAAUUGAUAGUGACUUACAAUUGAGAGCAUCUUAUAAUUAAGGAAAUACAUGAUAAUGAGCCCAAAUAAGUAAUGUACUUUUUUCUCCCCAACAUAAUUACAUCCUCCACUGGGAAUUACACUUAAGAAUUUACUUGCAUGAGUAGCAAAGAGACACUAGUUUAGCCAACACUGACCUGCAGGUGAUGGAACCAAUGAUGAUAUAAAAGCCAAGUGGCAUGAUCUUGGCUCACUGCAACCUCCGCCUCCCAAGUUCAAGUGAUUCUCCUACCUCAGCCUCCCAAGUAGCUGGGAUUACAGGUGUGCACCACCAUGCCUGGCUAAUUUUUGUAUUUUUAGUAGAGACGGGGUUGUACCAUGUUGGCAGGCUGGUUUCGAACUGACCUCAAGUGAUCCACCCGCCUUAGCCUCCCAAAAUGGUGGGAUUACAGGUGUGAGCCACCACGCCCAGCCUAGAAUGUAUUUUUAAUGACCCUAUUAAAAGGGUCAUUGUAAGAAAUUCACUUCAAAUAUAAUGAUAUAACCAUGUAAAAGGAUAGAAAAAGACCAUACAAAUGCUAACCAGAAGAUAGCUACUCUAGCCAUCAUUUACAUUGAUAUGUUUGAACUUGGCACAGCAUUUAACCUUGUAUUAGGUACUGUAAGUGACCUAAAGAUGACUGAAAGUAUAUGGGAGGAUGUGUAUAGGUUAUAUGCAAAUACAACAUCAUUUAUAUAAUGGACUUGAGCAUCUGUGGAUUUUGGUAUCCACAGAGGGAUCCUGGAACCCAAUCCUCUUGGGAUACUGAGGGACAACUGUAAUGUAUAGAACCAACUACGCAGAAGGUCAACAAGGAUAUAAAAGACUAGGUCAGCACUAUAAACCAACUAAACCUAAUAGAACACUGCACCCAGCAGCAACAAAAUUCACAUUUUUUUCAAGUGCCUGUGGAACAUUCACCACAAUAGACUACCCUGGCUCAUGAAACAAACUUCAGCAAAUUUAAAUUGAAUCAUAUAAAAUAUGUUCUCUGACCAUAAUGGAAUCAAACUAGAAGUCAGUAACAGCAGGAAAACCUGCAAACACUUGGAAAUUAAACAACAUAUUUCUAAAUAAUUCAUGGGUCCUAGAGCCCCAAAGCAAUUAAAAAAUACAUAGAACUGAAUGAAAAUGAAAAUAUAUCAAAAUACGUGGGAGGCAGCUAAAGCAGCCUAGAAGAAAAUUUAUAGCACUAAAUGUUUACAUUAGGGGGAAAAAGGGCCUCAAAUCAGUAAUCUAAGUUUCUACCUCAAGACACUGAAAAAAGGAGCAAGAUAAACAUAAAGCAAAAGGAAGAAUAUAAUAAAAAGAAAAUUGUGAAAUGGAAAAUGAGAAAAUUUUAAAUAUCAGCCUGACCAACAUGGAGAAACCCUGUCUCUACUAAAAAUACAAAACUAGCCGGGCAUGGUGGUGCAUGCCUAUAAUCCCAGCUACUCGGGAGGCUGAGGCAGGAGAAUCGCUUGAACCCAGGAGGCAGAGGUUGCUGUGAGCCAAGUUCGCACCAUUGCACUCCAGCCUCAGUGACAGAGCGAGACUCUGUCUCAAAAAAAAAAAAAAAAAAUCAAUUAAACAAGAAGCUGGUUCUUUGAAGAAAAUAAAAUUGAUACGCUUCUAACAAGCCUGACAAAAAUAAGAGAAUAGACACAACAAAUCACCAAUAUCAAGAAUGAAACAGGAGUAUCCAUCUGAAAGCCAUUAUGAGAAUAAUAAAGGAAUACUACAAACAAUUUUACACUCAAAAUUUGACAACCUAGAAGAAAUGGGACAAUUCUUUGAAAACUGCAAACUACCAAAACUCAACCCAAAUGAAAACAGAUCAUCUGGAUUAGCCCUAUAACUACAAUAAAAUGGAAUUAGUGAUUUAAAUGCUCCCAAAAAAUAAAUCUCAAGGCCUGUAUGGUUUCAUUGAAGAAUUCUGCCAAACACUUGAGAAAGGAUUAAUACCAAUUUUUUAAAAAUCUCUUCUAGAAAAUAAAGAGUAGAGAACACUUCAACUUAUUUUAUAAGGCUAGUAUUACCUUUAUACCAAGACCAAACAAAGACAGUGUAUUAAAAAAGAAAAAGUACAGGUCAAUAUCUCUCAUAAACUUGAGCAUGAAAAUUCUCAACAAAAUUUAACAAACUGAAUGUAGCAAUGUAUAAAAAGAAUUAUACUUCAUGACCAAGUGUGAUUUAUUUCAGAUACUGAAAAUAUCAAAUGGUUCAAUAUUUAAAAAUCAGUGUAAUCUAUGUCAGGUGCAGUGGCACAUGGCUGCUGUAAUCCCAGCGCUUUGGGAGGCUGAGCCAGGAGGAUCACCUGAAGCUAGGAGUUCGAGACCAGCCUGGGCAAUAUAGCGAGACCCCAUCUCUAAAACAAAAUAGCCAGGCAUGGCGGCAUGUGCCUGUAUUCCUAGCUACUCAGGAAGCUGAGGUGGGAGGAUUGCUGAGCCAAGGAGUUUGAGGUUGCAGUGAGCUGCAGUUGCAUCACUGCACCCUAGCCUGAGCAACAGAGCAAGACCCUGUCUCAAAAAGAAAACAAAAAAAAUGUAAUCAUUCUAUCAGAAGCUAAAAAAGACAAACCGUAUAUAUAAUCACAUCAAUUGACACAGAAAAAGCAUUGCACAAAGUCCAGCACACCUUCAUGAUAAAAACUCUCAGCAAGUUAGGAAUAGCAGGUAAUUACCUCAAUUUGAUAAAGAACAAUAUAGGCCAGGCACAGUGGCUCACACCUGUAAUCCCAGCACCUUGGGAGGCCAAGGCGGGAGAAUCACUUGAGCCCAAGAGUUCAAGACCAGCCUGGGCAAUAUGGCGAGACCCCAUCUCUACAAGUUACCUGUAGUCCAAGCAACUUGGGAGGCUGAGGUGGGAGAAUCACUUGAGCCUGGGAGGUUGAGGCUGCAGUGAGCUGUGGUCAUUUCCUGUAGUCCCAGCAACUUGGGAGGCUGAGGUGGGAGGAUCACUUGAGCCUGGGAGGUUGAGGCUGCAGUGAGCUGUGAUCGUGCCACUGCACCCCAGCCUGGGCAAAAGAGUGAAACCCUGUCUCAAAAAAAAAAGAACAACUACAAAAAACCUACAUCUAAUAUCAUGCUUAAUGGUGAAAGACGGAAUGCUCGUCCCUUAAGAUUAGGAACAAGACAAGAAUAUCUGCUCUCAUUACUCUUACUCAACCUAGCAUUAGAAGUUCCAGCCACUGCAAUAGGCAAGAAAAAGAAAUACACGGCACUCAGAUUAGAAAGGAAGAAGGAAAACUAUCUCUAUUUGCAGAUGUCAUGAUCAUCUUGGGAUUUUCUACAUAAAAAUCUUGGAAUUUUCUGCAUAAAAGCAACUCCUGGAACUAAAACUAAUAAAUGAGUUUUAGUUUAUUUUUCUGCAAAAAAGCAACUCCUAGAACUAAAACUAAUAAAUGAGUUGAGCAAGAUUGUAGGAUAUAAGAUCAACACACAAAAAUUAAUCACAUUUCUAUAUACUAACAAUGAACAUUAACAAUG